rnacentral:rRNA from 1 species
AUGGGGUGCAGCAGGCGAGAAAACUUUACAAUGUGCGAAAGCACGACAAGGUUAAUCCGAGUGUUUUCUGCUAAAGAAAUCUUUUGUUAGUUUUAAAAUCACUAUCGAAUAAGGGGUGGGCAAGUUCUGGUGUCAGCCGCCGCGGUAAAACCAGCACCUCAAGUGGUCAGGAGGAUUAUUGGGCCUAAAGCAUCCGUAGCCGGCUAUGUCAGUUUUCGGUUAAAUCCAUGUGCUCAACACAUGGGCUGUCGAGAAUACUGCAUAGCUAGGGAGUGGGAGAGGUAGACGGUACUCGGUAGGAAGGGGUAAAAUCCUUUGAUCUAUCGAUGACCACCAGUGGCGAAGGCGGUCUACCAGAACACGUCCGACGGUGAGGGAUGAAAGCUGGGGGAGCAAACCGGAUUAGAUACCCGGGUAGUCCCAGCUGUAAACUAUGCAAACUCAGUGAUGCAUUGGCUUGUGGCCAGUGCAGUGCCGCAGAGAAGUCGUUAAGUUUGCCGCCUGGGAAGUACGUACGCAAGUAUGAAACUUAAAGGAAUUGGCGGGGGAGCAC